UGCCAGACUCCUACGGGAGGCAGCAGUGGGGAAUAUUGCACAGUGGGGGAAACCCUGAUGCAGCGACGCCGCGUGAGUGAAGAAGUAUUUCGGUAUGUAAAGCUCUAUCAGCAGGGAAGAAAAUGACGGUACCUGAUUAAGAAGCCCCGGCUAACUACGUGCCAGCAGCCGCGGUAAUACGUAGGGGGCAAGCGUUAUCCGGAUUUACUGGGUGUAAAGGGAGCGUAGACGGCAGCGCAAGUCUGAAGUGAAAUGCCGGGGCUUAACCCCGGAACUGCUUUGGAAACUGUGCAGCUAGAGUGCAGGAGAGGUAAGUGGAAUUCCUAGUGUAGCGGUGAAAUGCGUAGAUAUUAGGAGGAACACCAGUGGCGAAGGCGGCUUACUGGACUGUAACUGACGUUGAGGCUCGAAAGCGUGGGGAGCAAACAGGAUUAGAUACCCUGGUAUAC
rnacentral:rRNA from 1 species